AUCACAUGAUUACAGAAUGAAUAUUACGUUAAAUUAUAACCCACAAACCAAUCAAUGAGAUAGAACGUAAUCCCCGCCGUGUCAUUGUGACACCGUUUUUAUCUACCCACUUACAAUUUACUUAGCUCAAGUCAGUUGACAUGGACGACAAGAGGGCCUUGUGUGAACCACCGCCCCUUCCUGCUGAAGUAGCAGUAGGUGAAUCUCAGGAGUCUCUCCGAGAUGUUGUGGAAAGAAUUAGGUCAGAGGUUGAAACACAAGCCAAGACUAUUGAUUCCCUGUGCAAAACUUUAUUCAUGCACGAGGCAGAGAGAACCCAGAAUCUCAAUACCAUGGCAGUCCUUCAAUCCGAGGUGCACCAUUUGGCUGCACAUGUUGCCGCCCAGCACCUUGAGGAGCGUUUUGAGGGCCUACGCUGUGAGGUCUCCACUGAGCUCCACUACUUGCGCAGCCUCCUGUCCCACUCUCUCUGCUCCUGUCCUACUCUCCAAGCCUCCUGCUCCAGCACUCACCCCUCAGACAUCCAGAGGCAAGCUGCCAUCAACCACAUCUCUCAGGAACUCUACCACAGUCGAAGAGUCCUGUGGGAGCAGAUUGCUGAGCUAAGGGAGGAAAUCCACAACAUUCAUGGCCUGCUUAAAAAACUAAGAGAUGAAACUAUGCGCAGAUUGACAGAGAAAUACUGCAAAGAUAUGUGCUUGGAGAGGAUGAUUGACAGCUAUCAGAUGAAGGACGACGCUCUCAAACUGCAGAGGCCUCAGGACACGCUCAGGUCAAAUGCAAGGUCAGAUGUUUCUGAGUUACAGAAUAAGCUUCAGACUAUAACAAUAUCGAAAGGCAAGGCUCCCAAUAAAACAGUUUUUUUGCUAUGUGCAUGGUCUCUUGCAUCGUAUACUAGGCCGAACUGAACGAAUAGGACAGAGGGUUAUGCCAGCCAAUUCAGAUUCAGAUGAAGGGCAAAGUGGAAUAUGUGCUAAAGGAAUGACACCAAAGAUCAAAGAGGAAAUCGAUGUGUCUGCCAGAAGGAAAUAAAGUUCAUAGCUGGAAUCCUCUAUCUACCUUUUGCCCUACCUUGUCUCACACUGUCUUCUUUAUGACAGCCAAAUAAAAUCAAAUUGUGGUCUACACUGACAA